CGGCAAUGGAGGAAACUCUGACCGAGCAACGCCGCGUGAACGAUGAAGUAUUUCGGUACGUAAAGUUCUUUUAUUAGGGAAGAAUAAAUGAUGGAAAAAUCAUUCUGACGGUACCUAAUGAAUAAGCCCCGGCUAACUAUGUGCCAGCAGCCGCGGUAAUACAUAGGGGGCAAGCGUUAUCCGGAAUUAUUGGGCGUAAAGGGUGCGUAGGCGGUUAAAUAAGUUUAUGGUCUAAGUGCAAUGCUCAACAUUGUGAUGCUAUAAAAACUGUUUAGCUAGAGUAAGAUAGAGGCAAGUGGAAUUCCAUGUGUAGUGGUAAAAUGCGUAAAUAUAUGGAGGAACACCAGUAGCGAAGGCGGCUUGCUGGGUCUUUACUGACGCUGAGGCACGAAAGCGUGGGGAGCAAACAGGGUUAGAUACCCUGGUAGUCCACGCCGUAAACGAUGAGUACUAAACGUUGGGUAAAACCAGUGUUGAAGUUAACACAUUAAGUACUCCGCCUGAGUAGUACGUACGCAAGUAUGAAACUUAAAGGAAUUGACGGGACUCCGCACAAGCGGUGGAUCAUGUUGUUUAAUUCGAAGGUACCCGAAAAACCUCACCAGGUCUUGACAUGCUUCUGCAAAGCUGUAGAAACACAGUGGAGGUUAUCAGUUGCACAGGUGGUGCAUGGUUGUCGUCAGCUCGUGUCGUGAGAUGUUGGGUUAAGUCCCGCAACGAGCGCAACCCUUAUUGUUAGUUACCAGCACGUAAUGGUGGGGACUUUAGCAAGACUGCCAGUGAUAAAUUGGAGGAAGGUGGGGACGACGUCAAAUCAUCAUGCCCCUUAUGACCUGGGCUACAAACGUGAUACAAUGGCUGUUACAAAGAGUAGCUGAA
rnacentral:rRNA from 1 species